GUCAGGUCCAGCGUGUAGGUGAGGCCCGAGGAGAUCUGGAGGAUCUUCGGGGACGCCGCGUUCGUGCCGCUGACCUGCUCC
rnacentral:tRNA from 1 species